UGAAAAUUGAAGUUUAGAAAGUCAUGGGAGUCCUGCCUUUGUUACCUAUUUAUUGGCUCUUACAGAAUUAUGAUGCUCUUCUCUGUUGCUUGUAAAAGAAAAGGGAGACGAGUGCUGCUUCCUGGACCUAUAGAUAAGUCAGGAGAGAUGUUCUUAUGACAUAUUUUCAAGAGUUCCAGGAAUCACUGACAGUGGAAGAAGUCAGUUUUGCAGAAGACUCAGAGAAGUUACUGGAGCCCAGUUCCUGGUUGAAUCUACUAACAUGAUUGGAUUGGAUGUUCUCUUUUAAAUUUUCUGCUCACAAACAGUUCUGUUAAACUGCCCUAAGGAGCUGCUGCUGAUUCCUUCCUUCUUACUCUUCCUUAUGGGGUGUAUAUAAAAUCCCAGUAAGUUG
rnacentral:lncRNA from 1 species